CCUACGGGUGGCAGCAGUGAGGAAUAUUGGUCAAUGGACGAGAGUCUGAACCAGCCAAGUAGCGUGAAGGAUGACUGCCCUAUGGGUUGUAAACUUCUUUUAUAUGGGAAUAAAAUGUUCCACGUGUGGGAUUUUGUAUGUACCAUAUGAAUAAGGAUCGGCUAACUCCGUGCCAGCAGCCGCGGUAAUACGGAGGAUCCGAGCGGUAUCCGGAUUUAUUGGGUUUAAAGGGAGCAUAGGUGGAUUGUUAAGUCAGUUGUGAAAGUUUGCGGCUCAACCGUAAAAUUGCAGUUGAAACUGGCAGUCUUGAGUACAGUAGAGGUGGGCGGAAUUCGUGGUGUAGCGGUGAAAUGCUUAGAUAUCACGAAGAACUCCGAUUGCGAAGGCAGUUCACUGGACUGCAACUGACACUGAGGCUCGAAAGUGUGGGUAUCAAACAGGAUUAGAUACCCCAGUAGUC
rnacentral:rRNA from 1 species